GCCAGCUGCGUGAAUUAAUGUGAAUUGCAGGACACAUUGAACAUCGAUAUCUUGAACGCAUAUUGCGGCCUCGGGCAUUCCCGUGGCCACGCCUGUCUCAGGGUCG
rnacentral:rRNA from 1 species